rnacentral:rRNA from 1 species
AACGAACGCUGGCGGCAUGCCUAACACAUGCAAGUCGAACGAGAUCUUCGGGUCUAGUGGCGCACGGGUGCGUAACGCGUGGGAAUCUGCCCUUUGGUUCGGAAUCACAGUUGGAAACGACUGCUAAUACCGGAUGAUGACGAAAGUCCAAAGAUUUAUCGCCAGAGGAUGAGCCCGCGUAGGAUUAGCUAGUUGGUGUGGUAAAGGCGCACCAAGGUGACGAUCCUUAGCUGGUCUGAGAGGAUGAUCAGCCACACUGGGACUGAGACACGGCCCAGACUCCUACGGGGGGCAGCAGUGGGGAAUAUUGGACAAUGGGCGAAAGCCUGAUCCAGCAAUGCCGCGUGAGUGAUGAAGGCCUUAGGGUUGUAAAGCUCUUUUACCCGGGAUGAUAAUGACAGUACCGGGAGAAUAAGCUCCGGCUAACUCCGUGCCAGCCGCCGCUGUAA